CAGCCGCCGCGGGAACACGUAGGGCGCAAGCGUUAUCCGGAAUUAUUGGGCGUAAAGAGCUCGUAGGCGGUUUGUCGCGUCUGCCGUGAAAGUCCGGGGCUCAACCCCGGAUCUGCGGUGGGUACGGGCAGACUAGAGUGAUGUAGGGGAGACUGGAAUUCCUGGUGUAGCGGUGAAAUGCGCAGAUAUCAGGAGGAACACCGAUGGCGAAGGCAGGUCUCUGGGCAUUAACUGACGCUGAGGAGCGAAAGCAUGGGGAGCGAACAGGAUUAGAUACCCCUGUAGUCCCUGUCUCUUAUAU
rnacentral:rRNA from 1 species